AGUAGAAUUUCUAGAUAAAGUGGUAGCUUAGCAUUUUGAGCAGCUGACAAAUUGUUUCCUAGAGUAGCUACAACCAUUUUUUGUUCCCACCAGCAGU
rnacentral:pre_miRNA from 1 species